ensembl:snRNA U6 U6 spliceosomal RNA
GUGCUCACUUCCGCAGCACAUAUACUAAAACUGGAACAAUAUAGAGAAGAUUAGCAUGGCUCCUGCCCAAAAAUGACAUUCAAAUUCAUGAAGCUUUCCAUUAGUUU